AGUGAACGCUGGCGGUAGGCCUAACACAUGCAAGUCGAACGGCAGCACAGUAAGAGCUUGCUCUUACGGGUGGCGAGUGGCGGACGGGUGAGGAAUACAUCGGAAUCUACUUUUUCGUGGGGGAUAACGUAGGGAAACUUACGCUAAUACCGCAUACGACCUACGGGGGAAAGCAGGGGAUCUUCGGACCUUGCGCGAUUGAAUGAGCCGAUGCCGGAUUAGUUAGUUGGCGGGGUAAAGGCCCACCAAGGCGACGAUCCGUUGCUGGUCUGAGAGGGUGAUCAGCCACCCUGGAACUGGGACACCGUCCCGGCUCCUACGGGAGGCCACAGUGGGGAAUAUUGGACAAUGGGGGGAAGCCUUAUCCAGCCAUGCCGCGUGGGGUGAGGAAGCCUUCCGGUUGGAAAGCCCUUUUUUUUGGAAAGAAAAGCAGCAGGUUAAUACCCCGCUGUUCUGACGGUACCCAAAGAAUAAGCACCGGCUAACUUCGUG
rnacentral:rRNA from 1 species